rnacentral:tRNA from 1 species
GGGGAGAUGGCUCAGUGAUUCAGAGCACUGUCUGCUAUUCCAAAGGACUUGGGUUCAAUUCCCAGCAUCUACA